rnacentral:rRNA from 1 species
CGAGCACGCGCGUGUGGCAUAUCAAUAAGCGGAGGAAAAGAAACUAACAAGGGAUUCCCUUAGUAACGGCGAGUGGAGCGGGAAGAGCUCAAAUUUGAAAUCUUCAAGGUUCUACCUUGACGAAUUGUAGUUUAUAGAAGUGUUUUCUGUUAGUGGAGUGGCAAAAGUUCUUUGGAAUAGGACAUCAUAGAGGGUGAGAAUCCCGUAUUUGGUCAUUCCUCCUAGCGUUGUGAUACACUUUCAACGAGUCGGAUUGUUUGGGAAUGCAGUCCAAAAUGGGUGGUAAAUUUCAUCUAAAGCUAAAUAUUGGCGAGAGACCGAUAGCGAACAAGUACCGUGAGGGAAAGAUGAAAAGAACUUUGAAAAGAGAGUUAAACAGUACGUGAAAUUGUCAAAAGGGAAGCGUUUGACACCAGUGUUGUUUUUCCGAAAAUCAAUUACGAAUGUUUUGUUUUUAAGGAGUUAUGACUUCAUCGGCUUGCUUCUUUCUUUACGAAACUUUCUUAAUGCACUUUUCGGUUAACAAGUUAACAUCAAUUUCUUUUGUUGUAAAAGGGUAUGAGGAAGGUGGCUUUCUUUUCGGAGAAAGUGUUUAUAGCCUUGUGCCUCUGCAAUCGGAGAGAUUGAGGUCUGCAGCGUAGAUCCUUCGGGGUUAGAUACGUUUGUGCUAAGUUAUAGCUUUUCAUAGACAACUUGUUGACUAUGUUUAGUCUUGUAGCUUACUCGCUGACGCUAUUUUACCUACGCUUAGGAUGUUGAGUAGCGACAUACGCAC